UACGUAGGGUGCGAGCGUUAAUCGGAAUUACUGGGCGUAAAGCGUGCGCAGGCGGUUUUGUAAGCCAGAUGUGAAAUCCCCCGGGCUUAACCUGGGAAUGGCAUUUGGGACUGCAAGGCUUGAGUGCGGCAGAGGAGACUGGAAUUCUUGGUGUAGCAGUGAAAUGCGUAGAUAUCAGGAGGAACACCGAUGGCGAAGGCAGGUCUCUGGGCUGACACUGACGCUCAUGCACGAAAGCGUGGGGAGCAAACAGG
rnacentral:rRNA from 1 species